rnacentral:tRNA from 1 species
GGUGGGGUGGCAGAGCGGCCUAACGCGCCUGCCUUGAGAGCAGGUGGCUGGAAAGCCUCAUGGGUUCAAAUCCCAUCCCCACCG